UGUAAUAGGUCCAUUUCACUCGGGCUCAUAAAAAACUAUACCAGAACCAAAAAUAGAAAAAUAAUAAUAAUAAUAAUAAAUAAAGCCAUGAUCUAAAUAAAUUAAAAGUUCAAGUCCUUUUACAAAAAUAAAGGCCCAAAACACUAACCCAAAGUCCAAUAACAAAACAUAGCCCGAAAUAAAAAUAAAACACUAGUCUAAAACCUAAAAUCCUAGCUCAAUUUACAUACGGCCCAAAUGAGCCCAAUAAUGAGAAAACACCAGAAACCCUAUAGGUUUCUGGAAUACGCAGUGCAACAGCUAGCCAUGGAAUCGAGCCUCUCAUGAAGGGCCUCCUCACGAGUAGCUUGCUUUUCUGUACGCUUCCACGUCAACAUAGAACCUGUGAGACAGAAAUGCUAACAGAAUAUACAGCAAAAGACAGUAGGAAAAUAGAAUUUUCAUUUUUUAUUUAUUCUGUAAAUUCGGCUAUAAAAAGCUAUGGUUUGUAUUUUGAUGGAUUACCCAUACUGAGUAAAAAGAAACCAGAAAUUAUAAAGGUGAUUUUGAAUGCCUUAUAUUUUUUUUUCUCCUGAAUUUGUUCCAUAUUUUUUAUUUUGCAUGUGAUUUUCUGCAUACGAAAAUAAAUAGAAAAAAGAAAGCUUACUUUCAAAUGAGCCAUCAGAGGCCUUAUCUUCUUCGUCGAAAUCGAAGCUUGAAAUAGGUUUUCAAGGCUGAAAUCGGACCUUUUGAGGCAAGAUUUAAAAUGAGGGAAUGGGAUGAUUUCAUCGCGUGCUAUCAUCCACCGAUUAUAAUGGUGGAAUGGUGGUGGUUGAAUGGCAGAUCGAAUAGGGGCAAACAUCUAAGGUUUCCCCUUUUCUUUCCCAUUUUUGUUUUGCUGCGACGCUUAGAUUUGUUUUAGGGAUUUUUUUUCUCUUUUAAUUAGCAAAAUGAAGUGAUGUCGUUUAAGGCCUGAUUUGGUAGCCUUGAAACGACGCCGUGUAGGCCUACAUGAUCCGAUCCGAUUCCUUACCCCCAGGAUCUGCGUGUUUCUGCGGAGAGGCGAUAAUUGAGCGCUAGGCCCUCCCCUUUCGCCUGCUCAUUCAAUCACGCAUUAUUUGUUUUACUUCAUGUUGGAAUUUAGCCCUGUAAUCUGAGCAUGUUUGCACUUUGGUCCACGCCUCAACGCUACGUUUUGGCGUCUGGAAUAUUUCUAGCUUUAGUCCCUGGGAAUUUGCACGAAUUACGCGUUGGUCCUCAUUUUAAUUUCAAAAGGUUAUAUUAUUUAUAAAUUACCCCUUUCAUUUUAAUUUUAUUUUAAUUGAGUUUUUUUUUUCCUUUUAUCAUUUUUUUUAAAAGAUCCAUUUCACA
rnacentral:lncRNA from 1 species